rnacentral:sRNA from 1 species
CCAGAUUUGCUAAACAGAUAAGGCAGCAAUAUGUCAUGAAAAUGAACACUCAAGAGGCCAAGCAGAAAGCAGAUAUUAAAAUCAAAGACAGAACAUUAUUUGUGGAUCAGAAUUUGUCAAUGUCUGUGCAAGAUAAUGAGAGCAACCGAGAACCUUCAGAUCCUAGUCAGUGUGAUGCUAACAAUAUGAAGCAUUUUGACUUGAAUAAUCCCAAACUGUCGGUCCCUGAUAAUAGACAGCUGUUAGAGCAGGAGAGCAUCAUGAAGACUCAGCCCCAACAUGAGUUUCUGGGAAUUAUUUGGAACUUGUUGCAAAAUCUAUUCAAGAUUGGAUUACAAAAGAAGAAGCUGUAUAUCAGGAAUCUAAAAUGAAUGAGGAAAUCAUCAGGACCAGAGCUGAGCUGGAAUUGAAAUCUUCUGCUAAUGCCAAACUUACUUCUGCUAGCAAAAUUUUUUCCGUUAAAAAAUCUAAAAGUAACAAAGGAAUCAGCAAAACAGAGAUAUCAGAUCAAGA